CAUAGGUUAAUGAGGCGAACCGGGGGAACUGAAACAUCUAAGUACCCCGAGGAAAAGAAAUCAACCGAGAUUCCCCCAGUAGCGGCGAGCGAACGGGGAGCAGCCCAGAGCCUGAAUCAGUGUGUGUGUUAGUGGAAGCGUCUGGAAAGGCGCGCGAUACAGGGUGACAGCCCCGUACACAAAAAUGCACAUACUGUGAGCUCGAUGAGUAGGGCGGGACACGUGGUAUCCUGUCUGAAUAUGGGGGGACCAUCCUCCAAGGCUAAAUACUCCUGACUGACCGAUAGUGAACCAGUACCGUGAGGGAAAGGCGAAAAGAACCCCGGCGAGGGGAGUGAAAAAGAACCUGAAACCGUGUACGUACAAGCAGUGGGAGCCUCUUUAUGGGGUGACUGCGUACCUUUUGUAUAAUGGGUCAGCGACUUAUAUUCUGUAGCAAGGUUAACCGAAUAGGGGAGCCGAAGGGAAACCGAGUCUUAACUGGGCGUUAAGUUGCAGGGUAUAGACCCGA
rnacentral:rRNA from 1 species